CCCACCCCAUUUACUCUCCCAUAUCUCCACUUCCCAUCUCAUUAAGUAAUCAACCUCCAAUCUUAACCUCUAUUGCAAAUCUCUAUUUGAUACUAACACAUAAUUACAGGAUGCACAUAUCCUUAGCUAUAUGCAAACGGAUACAAAAGCAUAGAGUGAUUUCGUUCAAUCAGCAAUGGCAGGUCUUCAACCAUGAAGAGGUACAUGAAGGUGAAAACAAAUUCAAGAAUAACAUUGCUAGAUGAGUGAAGCUACAUUAGCCAAUGAGGAAGCAACAUACUUUUUUCUUUUUAAUUUAUCAUGUUCAUGUAUUGUAAUUUAUUUUUCCCCCCACUCAUUUAGGAGGAUUUAAAGUGUGGAAGGAGGAUUUAUAGUGUUUUCACACUUCCCUUCCAGUGUGACUCGAAUCCAGGACCUACCGGUCGUGGGUGGAGGUGCUUAACCACUGAGCCAUCCUCACUUGUCAUGUAUUGUAAUUACACUUUCAUGUUGAAUUGAUUUUUUUUUUUAAUUUAAAGGAAUUUGUAAUGAAAUAUUAUCUCUCCUUGCAUGUCUAUUUACGUUA